AUGUCACAUGGUAUAUCGUCUGCUGUGCAGUAAACGCAGGCAUAUUGAGAUCCACCAUGCAGCGUGAGUGGGAAACACGGAGUGAUGGGAACGAUUGGAGGGUAACCAGAUCGAGGUCGAAACAAAAUGAGAAAUCUUUUGAAAAUUUCUUUUUCAAUAUGGAAAUGGAUGAAACAAAUCUUCAUGUGAAUUUCAGCCAGUCUGUUACAAAAGUGAACUUAUAUGGCACAGGUAACAGACUAGAGAUCACGAUGGGGCUUCCAAGUCAGAGAAAAACAUCUGAGUA
rnacentral:sRNA from 1 species